GAUGAACGCUGGCGGCGUGCCUAAUACAUGCCAGUCGAGCGAACAGACGAGGAGCUUGCUCCUCUGACGUUAGCGGCGGACGGGUGAGUAACACGUGGAUAACCUACCUAUAAGACUGGGAUAACUUCGGGAAACCGGAGCCAAUACCGGAUAAUAUAUUGAACCGCAUGGUUCAAUAGUGAAAGACGGUUUUGCUGUCACUUAUAGAUGGAUCCGCGCCGCAUUAGCUAGUUGGUAAGGUAACGGCUUACCAAGGCGACGAUGCGUAGCCGACCUGAGAGGGUGAUCGGCCACACUGGAACUGAGACACGGUCCAGACUCCUACGGGAGGCAGCAGUAGGGAAUCUUCCGCAAUGGGCGAAAGCCUGACGGAGCAACGCCGCGUGAGUGAUGAAGGUCUUCGGAUCGUAAAACUCUGUUAUUAGGGAAGAACAAAUGUGUAAGUAACUAUGCACGUCUUGACGGUACCUAAUCAGAAAGCCACGGCUAACUACGUG
rnacentral:rRNA from 1 species